rnacentral:rRNA from 1 species
UUAACAAGUGGCGGACGGGUGAGUAACGCGUGGGUAACCUACCUUAUGCAGGGGGAUAACGCUUGGAAACGAACGCUAAUACCGCAUAAACUAUGGAGCAUCGCAUGAUGCUUAUAGCAAAGAUUUAUCGGCAUAAGAUGGACCCGCGUUGGAUUAGCUAGUUGGUGAGAUAACAGCCCACCAAGGCGACGAUCCAUAGCCGGCCUGAGAGGGUGAACGGCCACAUUGGGACUGAGACACGGCCCAA